ACAGCAGUAGCCGCGGUAAUACGUAUGUCACAAGCGUUAUCCGGAUUUAUUGGGCGUAAAGCGCGUCUAGGUGGUUAUGUAAGUCUGAUGUGAAAAUGCAGGGCUCAACUCUGUAUUGCGUUGGAAACUGUGUAACUAGAGUACUGGAGAGGUAAGCGGAACUACAAGUGUAAAGGUGAAAUUCGUAGAUAUUUGUAGGAAUGCCGAUGGGGAAGCCAGCUUACUGGACAGAUACUGACGCUAAAGCGCGAAAGCGUGGGUAGCAAACAGGAUUAGAUACCCGUGUAGUCCCUGUCUCUUAUACA
rnacentral:rRNA from 1 species